UACAGAGGGUGCAAGCGUUAAUCGGAAUUACUGGGCGUAAAGCGUCCGCAGGUGGCUGUUCAAGUCUGCUGUCAAAGCGCAGAGCUUAACUCUGUACAGGCGGUGGAAACUGAAGAGCUAGAGUAUGGUAGGGGUAGAGGGAAUUCCCGGUGUAGCGGUGAAAUGCGUAGAUAUCGGGAAGAACACCAGUGGCGAAAGCGCUCUACUGGGCCAUAACUGACACUGAGGGACGAAAGCUAGGGGAGCGAAAGGG
rnacentral:rRNA from 1 species